rnacentral:rRNA from 1 species
UACGGAGGGUGCAAGCGUUAUCCGGAUUCACUGGGUUUAAAGGGAGCGUAGGAGGGCAGGUAAGUCAGUGGUGAAAUCUUCGAGCUUAACUCGGAAACUGCCGUUGAUACUAUCUGUCUUGAAUACCGUGGAGAUGAGCGGAAUAUGUCAUGUAGCGGUGAAAUGCUUAGAUAUGACAUAGAACACCGAUAGCGAAGGCAGCUUACUACAGGAUGAUUGACGCUGAGGCACGAAAGCGUGGGGAGCAAACAGG